rnacentral:rRNA from 1 species
GCUCUCUGGGUGGCGAGUGGCGGACGGGUGAGGAAUACAUCGGAAUCUACUUUUUCGUGGGGGAUAACGUAGGGAAACUUACCCUAAUACCGCAUACGACCUACGGGUGAAAGCAGGGGAUCUUCGGACCUUGCGCGAUUGAAUGAGCCGAUGUCGGAUUAGCUAGUUGGCGGGGUAAAGGCCCACCAAGGCGACGAUCCGUAGCUGGUCUGAGAGGAUGAUCAGCCACACUGGAACUGAAACACGGCCCAAACUCCUACGGGAGGCAGCAGUGGGGAAUAUUGGACAAUGGGCGCAAGCCUGAUCCACCCAUACCGCGUGGGUGAAGAAGGCCUUCGGGUUGUAAAGCCCUUUUGUUGGGAAAGAAAUCCAGCUGGCUAAUACCCGGUUGGGAUGACGGUACCCAAAGAAUAAGCACCGGCUAACUUCGUGCCAGCAGCCGCGGUAAUACGAAGGGUGCAAGCGUUACUCGGAAUUACUGGGCGUAAAGCGUGCGUAGGUGGUCGUUUAAGUCCGUUGUGAAAGCCCUGGGCUCAACCUGGGAACUG